rnacentral:lncRNA from 1 species
UUCUCUCUCGAUCAGCCUACCCACACUUCCAAUCCUGCUAAGAAUGGCAGUCUCCAAGUCUCACCACUUCCAAUUGAUAAAAUAUUAUUCAAGUUAGUGGCAUUUGAGCCUCCAGUUAGGAACUGGAAAUUAGCAAUUUCACUUUGAGUAUGAAAUCCACCAAGACUUGAUAUGAUAUUGCUAGCAACACCUCCAUAAGAUCGUGAAGGGCAUUUGAAGAGAUGGAGGGUGUGGGAUUUGAGUACUUGUUGCUUUGUUUUCAGUGCUACACCUUGAUGGACUUCCAUUACACCUUGAUGGACUUCCAUUUAAGGAUUUAGUCCCCUUUUGGCUUGGAGAUUUUGAUCUGCUAUGUUGGCUACUUCUUUUGUUCCUCGUACAACCUCCCCCAACCGGAACAUUCCUUAGCGCACCACCGUGUGUCCAAUAACGCCUACACGUCUUGCAAAAGUUAUUGAGAUGGGUGUGGGUUAAUGUUAUUGAAUUUAUUUUAUACAUUUUUUGUUUGUAAAUUUGUAUAAAUUUAUGAUUAAUGUUAUUGAAAUUUUAU